rnacentral:rRNA from 1 species
CCUACGGGAGGCAGCAGUAGGGAAUAUUGCGCAAUGGACGAAAGUCUGACGCAGCAACUCCGCGUGGAGGAUGACGGUUUUCGGAUUGUAAACUCCUUUUAUUUGGGAAGAAUAAGUAGUGUAGGUAAUGACAUUGCUCUGAUGGUACCAUUUGAAUAAGCAACGGCUAAAUACGUGCCAGCAGCCGCGGUAAU